AUUUUGUUUUGUGUCUGAGUAUCCGUGUGAGCCCGUGCACGACCACCUCUGGAUGUGUGUUUGUGAGUGCCUGCAGGAGGCUCUGUGGACCCUAGAAAUAAGCAAGACUGACCCUCUAGGUGGCUUUUGGGAUAUACCCAAGCCUAGCUGAGGAGGACAAGGGGCUUGUUUUUUGGCACAGCCUUCCCCACUCUAAGUUUGAGAGUCCCUGGGCAGCGGUGGGUCUCAGAGCUCUGCUUUUCUACCUCCAGAGACAGGGUGCUCACUACCCCACCUGAUACCUCCUGGCUUAUCUUUAGAUGGCUCUGACUGUUAAGAACGAAAUUCAUCCUUCUUGAGAGAAUUCUGGUACUCCUGAGGGUCAGGUUCAGCUGCACCUCAUGCCUACAACACCCACAUCUCUACCUGCAAGCCAGAUCCUGCUCCUCAAAGGCACCACCUGCCAUAUGCCUGAGCACUGAGCUGGGCACCAAGAAUACAGAGACAAAAGACGCCAUCAGAGAUUGAGGAAGAUUUGCCCUGAGCUAACAUUUGUGUCGAUCUUCCUCUAUUUUUUGUAUGUGGGAUGCCUCCACAGCAUGGCUGAUGAGCAGAGUAGGUCUGCACGUACUCUGGGCUGCAAACCUGGGCGGCCGAAGCAGAGCAGCGCACAGAACUUUAACCCCUCGGCCACGGGGCUGGCCCCCUCAUUCUUUUUGACAGCUGCGUACCUGCUACUGGACAACUUUCUAAUCCAUUGCAAACCUUACCCAAUGAAUAACAUUGAUG
rnacentral:lncRNA from 1 species